GACGAACGCUGGCGGCGUGCUUAACACAUGCGAGUCGAACGGAAAGGCCCUGCUUUUGUGGGGUGCUCGAGUGGCGAACGGGUGAGUAACACGUGAGUAACCUGCCCUUGACUUUGGGAUAACUUCAGGAAACUGGGGCUAAUACCGGAUAGGAGCUCCUGCUGCAUGGUGGGGGUUGGAAAGUUUCGGCGGUUGGGGAUGGACUCGCGGCUUAUCAGCUUGUUGGUGGGGUAGUGGCUUACCAAGGCUUUGACGGGUAGCCGGCCUGAGAGGGUGACCGGCCACAUUGGGACUGAGAUACGGCCCAGACUCCUACGGGAGGCAGCAGUGGGGAAUAUUGCCAUAGGGGGGGAAGCCUGAUGCAGCAACGCCGCGUGCGGGAUGACGGCCUUCGGGUUGUAAACCGCUUUCGCCUGUGACGAAGCGUGAGUGACGGUAAUGGGUAAAGAAGCACCGGCUAACUACGUG
rnacentral:rRNA from 1 species